UGGAUAACGAAUAUAAAGGCUUUUGUCGGGCUGCAUUUUAGCGGGCACUGAGUUGUUCGUUGUGUUUUAAUGGAGCUUUCGGCUACUCAGGCUAUUUGCGCCUCAGCGAAUAAAACAAUGCACAUGCAUCUUUGAUAAGCCUCUGUUGAUCACAGUGUGGGCAAAGCAGACGAGUCGUGUUGAAUUAAGAUGCAAAUGGUCGGGGGAAAAAGGGUUUUUGACACCUACCGGUACUUGGUCCUGAUCAGCUUGGACCUCUUCCAACUCCUCUUGCCCCUCAUCAGCGGACAUAUUCCACCCCUCUCGCAGCAUCCGUAGCCCGAACAGCG